rnacentral:rRNA from 1 species
UACGUAGGGUGCGAGCGUUAAUCGGAAUUACUGGGCGUAAAGCGUGCGUAGGCGGUUCUUUAAGUCUGCUGUGAAAUCCCCGGGCUCAACCUGGGAAUGGCAGUGGAUACUGGAGAGCUAGAGUGUGAUAGAGGAUGGUGGAAUUCCCGGUGUAGCGGUGAAAUGCGUAGAGAUCGGGAGGAACAUCAGUGGCGAAGGCGGCCAUCUGGAUCAACACUGACGCUGAGGCACGAAAGCGUGGGGAGCAAACAGG